CGCGCUCGCGGACCUCGCCGGAGCCGGUGCCUUACACAGCGAAGCGCGGGGAGGGGCGGGGCCCCCCCACACUGCAGCACUGAGACACGAGUCCCCUACCCUACCCGGGACCCUGGGGCAGGGGCGAGGGGCCCAUUCCUUGUAUCUGGCUGGACUAGAUCUCUUCUGCCCCGCGGCGGCCUCCAAAGCCUCCCGUCCCCUCACCCAGCCCCAUCCCUGGUCCCACCAGUCUGGUUUGGAGGGAGGGGCUUCUUUUUUCUCUCUAUGUCCUAGUCUUUCCUGCCCUCUGUCGUCUGUUUUAAGUCCUUCCCUACUUGUCUCCCUUUUUUCUGUCCCAUUGUCGUCUCUUCUCCCUCUGCCCUCCCUUGUUUUUGGUUUUUUGUUUGUUUGUUUGUUUUUUGUUUUGUCCAGUGUCCGUGUCUCUCCCGAUUCCCUGUCCUCACCAUCUUCCGGGCAGGUCCCACUGAAGGACCAGACUCUUCUAUCUUCCUUAUCCCCACAAUGAAUUCCCCACACAAACAAAAACCAAAUCCCACUCCGGAGCCGGGACCCUCCGCCGCAGCAGAAUUAAACUUUUUUCUGUGUCUGA
rnacentral:lncRNA from 1 species